CUAACCUACCUCUUUCUCUUUUUCCAGCUUUCUCACUUGUCCACAUGCUUUACGUAGUUUCCAAGGGAGCAUAUUUUUCCAAAGCUGCCUUCACAAGACAUCUUCCUGAGCAAGCCUAUUCUUCCAUAAAUAUCACUCUCAGCCAUCAACCUUUUCAUCAUAAUUUUCCCCGGACAAGCCAAGGCAGAGAAAAAGAGAAAGAGGGUUGCUUGGAGUUAUAGGUAUGGGGGGAUUGGGCAGGAUGGCCUCAAAAAUUUUCUUCCUGGUUUUGUCUUUUGAAUGGGGUUCAAUUCUUCCCAACACCUCCCAUACCCUUGAUUUCAAGCAUUUUCCCCAGCUUUCUCUUCUGUAAGAAGUGAUUCUGACUUGACCUGUCAGGUACAGGAAAUUGCUAUAUGGAUAAAUUGUCGCAUAGAACUGUUUUGACCUGUUACAAAAUAAAUCUGACUCUGGAAGGAGCUUGUUGUAUGAACCUGAAUCGACUGCAACAAGUUCAAUUGUACUUUUGGCAUUCUAAAUUAAAAUCUGAAAUCUUAAAAAGUUUGAUUGUAGUACAAAUGAUAAUGGAUUUUUAAGCAUUUGUAAUUUUUGUAUAGAAGGUAAACAAUUUUAUUAA